rnacentral:rRNA from 1 species
AUGAACGCUGGCGGCGUGCCUAAUACAUGCAAGUCGCGCGAACGGACGAGAAGCUUGCUUCUCUGAUGUUAGCGGCGGACGGGUGAGUAACACGUGGAUAACCUACCUAUAAGCCUGGGAUAACUUCGGGAAACCGGAGCUAAUACCGGAUGAUAUUUUGAACCGCAUGGUUCAAAAGUGAAAGACGGUCUUGCUGUCACUUAUAGAUGGAUCCGCGCUGCAUUAGCUAGUUGGUAAGGUAACGGCUUACCAAGGCAACGAUGCAUAGCCGACCUGAGAGGGUGAUCGGCCACACUGGAACUGAGACACGGUCCAGACUCCUACGGGAGGCAGCAGUAGGGAAUCUUCCGCAAUGGGCGAAAGCCUGACGGAGCAACGCCGCGUGAGUGAUGAAGGUCUUCGGAUCGUAAAACUCUGUUAUUAGGGAAGAACAUAUGUGUAAGUAACUGUGCACAUCUUGACGGUACCUAAUCAGAAAGCCACGGCUAACUACGUG